rnacentral:rRNA from 1 species
CCUACGGGCGGCAGCAGUCGAGAAUCAUUCACAAUGGGGGAAACCCUGAUGGUGCGACGCCGCGUGGGGGAAUGAUGGUCUUCGGAUUGUAAACCCCUGUCAUGUGGGAGCAAAUUAAAAAGAUAGUACCACAAGAGGAAGAGACGGCUAACUCUGUGCCAGCAGCCGCGGUACUACAGAGGUCUCAAGCGUUGUUCGGAAUCACUGGGCGUAAAGCGUGCGUAGGCUGUUUCGUAAGUCGUGUGUGAAAGGCGCGGGCUCAACCCGCGGACGGCACAUGAUACUGCGAGACUAGAGUAAUGGAGGGGGAACCGGAAUUCGCGGUGUAGCAGUGAAAUGCGUAGAUAUCGAGAGGAACACUCGUGGCGAAGGCGGGUUCCUGGACAUUAACUGACGCUGAGGCACGAAGGCCAGGGGAGCGAAAGGGAUUAGAUACCCUUGUAGUC